rnacentral:rRNA from 1 species
GUGGGGAAUAUUGGACAAUGGGCGCAAGCCUGAUCCAGCCAUGCCGCGUGUGUGAAGAAGGCCUUCGGGUUGUAAAGCACUUUUGUUGGGGAAGAAAACCCGUUGGUUAAUACCCGGCGGGAAUGACGGUACCCAAAGAAUAAGCACCGGCUAACUUCGUGCCAGCAGCCGCGGUAAUACGAAGGGUGCAAGCGUUACUCGGAAUUACUGGGCGUAAAGCGUGCGUAGGUGGUUCGUUAAGUCUGCCGUGAAAGCCCCGGGCUCAACCUGGGAAUGGCGGUGGAUACUGGCGGACUAGAGUGCGGUAGAGGGUGGUGGAAUUCCCGGUGUAGCAGUGAAAUGCGUAGAGAUCGGGAGGAACAUCUGUGGCGAAGGCGGCCACCUGGACCAGCACUGACACUGAGGCACGAAAGCGUGGGGAGCAAACAGGAUUAGAAACCCGGGUAGUCC